CUGUGUUGUGAGCACCAUUGCUGGACACAUUCACACCUCCACUCUCUCCCGGGAACGCUCGCUCGCGGCUCUCUAUUCCUGAGGAGUUACUAGAAAGAGAGAGAGAGAGAGAGAGAGAGAGAGAGAGAGAGAGAGAGAUAAUAUGUGACGAGCAAGACAGUACUCCCCUUCCACUUCAAGCACACACACAAAGAAGCACAGAAUAAACAUAUUGUAAGAACACAAACUAAACAUGAUAACAGUCACAGAGAACGCGGAGGAGAGAGGCGAGAGCGCCCACCAGGAGAACACCGUUUAUGGAAUAGAAAAGAAUGCAUUAAUUCGUUUGGCGGUGUUUGUUGUCUUUCUGUGGCUCAUUGUGCUCCUGUCGGUGGUGGCGGCGGUCGGCAUGUACACCUCGCAAGCCAAUCAUAUGAUAGUGAUGUCCUGCAUGGCCGUCUUCUCCGUCGCUUUGGGGAUUGCUUCCUGGAAACUCAACGCCAUCAUCAGCUUGUCCAAGAUUGUGACGGAGGACGCGGCCGCCAAAGCAGAUCCUCCGCCGACCUACGAAGACGUGCUACACUCCGAGGCCCCGCCACCGUCUUACUUCUCUGUAGUGAGUGAGGCGGAGAGCAGUGACAGCAGUGACCCCGCCAGUCCAGCGAAGCCUGUCUCCCCUAAAUGUGAAGACACUCACGCCAGUCAUGAAAGCAACCGUCCUUCCAAACAGCUGAACACCAGGGACAACGCCACCUUCAGAAAGUGGCUGGCUAACCCUGGCAUGCUGCACUCUGUCAUUUUGCGAUCCUCGCGGCAAUCGUCGGCAAGACACCCCGCACCCCAGCAGUCCCUCAAGCUCCCCGAGGGCAGGGGCCUUCGUCUCCGCAGGACCUCAAGCACACCUUCUCUCACUGGUGUGACAAGUCCGUCUCCCCUCGCCCGCUGCCCCAGCACUCCCUCUCUCCAUGAUACUUGUGGCUGCUUCUGACGCGACGCGCACACUACACUAUAUCUCAACAGAUCUCAACGCUAUUAUUUUGUAGCGUGACAUUGGCGAGAACAUGAUUCCAUCCGCUUCCUUGCCCUACAAGUUCAGCCACAAGCAACGUCAAUCACAUUUCCACAUCAUAAGUGGAUCGAGUGAUGAGCUACGAGGGGCAGAUGGCUACGCCGCAAAGACUGACUGUAUGAUGGGAACGAGAACAAGAUAACGCGUUGAAGAUCACUGAGAAGGUAGAGAAAAAAAAACGACGAAAUGAAAUGCAGGUGCUAUCCGUGUGUGUGUGUGUGUGUGUGUGUGUGUGUGUGUGUGUGUGU
rnacentral:misc_RNA from 1 species